rnacentral:rRNA from 1 species
AGUGAGCGCUGGCGGUAGGCCUAACACAUGCAAGUCGAACGGCAGCACAGUAAGAGCUUGCUCUUACGGGUGGCGAGUGGCGGACGGGUGAGGAAUACAUCGGAAUCUACUUUUUCGUGGGGGAUAACGUAGGGAAACUUACGCUAAUACCGCAUACGACCUACGGGUGAAAGCAGGGGAUCUUCGGACCUUGCGCGAUUGAAUGAGCCGAUGUCGGAUUAGCUAGUUGGCGGGGUAAAGGCCCACCAAGGCGACGAUCCGUAGCUGGUCUGAGAGGAUGAUCAGCCACACUGAACUGAGACACGGUCCAGACUCCUACGGGAGGCAGCAGUGGGGAAUAUUGGACAAUGGGCGCAAGCCUGAUCCAGCCAUACCGCGUGGGUGAAGAAGGCCUUCGGGUUGUAAAGCCCUUUUGUUGGGAAAGAAAAGCAGCAGGUUAAUACCCCGCUGUUCUGACGGUACCCAAAGAAUAAGCACCGGCUAACUUCGU